CACGCCCUUGGACAAAGCUGACAGUUAAGCUGGCAGUGCAUCUUUGAGCUACGUACUUAUUUUCUGCACUAAAGCAUGCUACCAUUUGCAGUUGUUGAAUUUCUGGAUGGUGGAGGUGUAUCCAUAAUUCCUUGCAAGUGGUUUACAGGACCGGCAGAAGAUUCUUGUUUCUGGCCACCAGGGAGAGUCAAUAUCAAUAAGGCUGUAAAGGAUGGAGUUACUCCAGAUGCAAACUGGUCACAGUACAGAGUUCGCAUCUUGGGGAAAGCUGAAAACUAUGAAAAUGCCAGGGUGAAACUGUGGAGGUCUGAAACAACCUCUGAUCUGCAGACUGAGUCGCAUUCUGGAAGCAGAUUGGGAAAAGGGAAGCGGAAAAGCAGGCCAGUGAUCCUGUCGAGCUCCGAUGAGGAUUGGGACAACACUGCGGAACAGCCAGAGACCUCACCACCAUCAUCAAUGGAGAAUAGACAUUCAAGUGAAACUCCCCUCCUGAACAUCACUCAUCCAUUUGUUCAGCCGCCACAACCCUCAACUCCUUCACCUGUGGUUUCACAACCAGUUCCAAGACAACUUCUACAAGCCACCAAUACCAGCAUGUUUGUGCGUGUUCUAACCCUCCUGGAAGACAUUAAGGACACUCAGAUGGUCCACAGUCUCUCCUCAAACAGCAUGAUGGAUCAGUUGCUGCAGUAUUACCUGAGGGUGCUGUAUUUCCCCUCCGGACAGUAGCAGAUGUGGAAGCGCUGGAGCAAAAACUGGCAGACCCUGUCUUCCUAAAAUAAGUGGUUGCUGUUGUGGCAGAGAUCGGAGGGAGCACUAUUGAUGAAGCCACAAGAAGAAUGAUGGCUUUCAUUAUGGACAAUGCUCUUUCCAGGCAAUAUAACGUCGUUGGGUGCCAUGGAAAGUGGGAAUUUCAAGGGCUUAAAGUUUUUGAAGUGCUAUAUGGCAGCUUGAAAAAAAAUGCCCUUACCAGCCAGAUUACCAGAAAAGAGGCAGAAAAGGCAGCAUCCAAGUGGUUUAUUGGUGCAAGAGAUAGAGGAGGAAACCGCACGGCAAGGGCACAGUGUCGUGUGCACGAAAGGACCAAUGGAUUGGUGAAUGAGUGAGUAGCUGUUGUACAGGUGAUUUAAAUUAUAGCUUACUUUCAUUAUCCAAAAUCCCAUCUGGUCAAACACACUUGGGGCCACCAUGGAAACUGAGGACAAAAAUAGCUGGGUCCCAGGUUGGUAACCCAAGUGGGCCCCAAGUAUCAGACCCGCUUCUAUCCAUCUGGGCCCCACACUCAUUUGUUGGCUGGGGCUGAUUUGGGGCCCAUCCAGGUCCCAUCAUUAAUCCAUCUGGGCAAACACAUUUGGGGCCACCAUGGAAACUGAGGACAAAAUUAGCUGGGUCCCAGGUGGGUAACCCAAGUGGGCCCCAAAUAUCAGAUCUGCUUCUACACAUCUGGGCCCCACAUAUGUGUGUUGACUGGGAAUGAAUCUAAGCAUCAUCAGCUAAAAUUCAUAUGAAUCUCUGCUAGACUUGUAACCGAACUCUGACCAUUAACCACAGCCACUGUGCACCAGUCACAUACUGUUCUUUACUUUAAAUACAUCACAAUACAGCAAACUAACCUGUUUAUCCUGCACUAACCUGCAGAGGAUUUUCAUGCAACCUUUAAGUAACACAGUAAGUCUGCUUCAGUUUGUUUUGCAUCUUUCACAGUAUGAAAAAACACAACAUCACAUGUACAGAUCCAAUAUCUGAUCUGAUUUUUUUUUUUUUUUUAAACACGAGGACUUAGAUGUUCAUGUGUUACUGUUUAGGCUGAAAUUGAUUUGACAUUUGAAAGCCUGCAGUGAUGUGAAAUAAUAACUCCCUCCCUUUAAUGCACCAAAGCAAAAAUAACAAGCCUGUUUUGAACAUGCAAGGAAAAGAAAGUACAGAUAUUUGUUUCAAAAUGUAGGAAGUUACGGUAAAAAGUUGUCAGAAAAAAAACUACGCAAGUACAGUACAGAUUCUACUUAAAAUUCUACUUAAGUACAGUAACAAAGUAUUUGUACUUGGUUAGUUUGUACUUUGUUGCUUGCUUCCCACCUCUGUCAUCCACAGUCCACUAUGCUCCACCCAGGCUAGUCCACCUUUGCAUUUUCAGACCUGGAACCUAUAAGACUGGCACUGUUGACAGAAAACUUGCAGUCUGAAUGGUGUGAAACAUUGGGUAAUUAUAAAGUAAAAAAGUUGCCAUGUCAUCAGAGUGCUUAAAUUCUGUGACAAAUGGAGACAAGUCAGUCUUUGUAAAAGAGCUGGAAAAAUAUAUUUUAGAACUUAACAGCUAGAAACAUGGUUGCCCCCCAAAAUCUAUGCAACCAUGUCCUGUUCCCUAGAACCCUUGUCACUUGCAAUUACUGAACUGUUUGGAUGAAUUGGAUAUGAAUUGGAUAAACUGCUUAUUCACAGGAUUUAAUCAUUUACGUAUAUCUAUUGGCCUUUAAUAGCUCACACCACUUAACUCUGUCACUGCAAAUUAAACAUCUUUCAGGUACAUCAUAUGACCCCUAAACAAAAAUUGAAAAUAGUUUUAGGUUAUGCUGUCAAAUGGAAUCUCCUGCUGUGGAACUACUAACUUUGAAAUACUAUGCGCCACCAUCAGGAUACAGUGUACAGUGGAUGGUGUGUAGAGAUAAAGAAGAUGAGGUGAUGGUGACACUGAUGACACAAACCAUUAAGUUGCCAAUGAGGCAGCAGAUCUCAGGCUUUUGGGAUUCCCUCCCCAGAUUCAAAUGUUUUUGUUCUACAUUUUUCUUCUUCUUGUUUUUGAGUCUCUCUUUUUGAGUCCUCCUCCAUCAUUUCCAUCAGUUGAGGUAGUGUGUAUUACCCUAGAAACACAUUCUCCGAUGUCUGUCCAUUGUGGCUUAAUGACACAAACAGAGGAGACAAAGUGUUAUAUGUUAUGUUAUAUGGGUUUUUGUUUCAUUUCUUAAAGAAUUUUUGUGUUCUGGACAAAAUAGACUCUGAUCUGUAUGAUAGCUGUUUUACAUAUGCAGGAGCACUUCUAUAAAAGAAUCUAUGUAACAUCACCUCAUUAUAAUUUUCUAAGAAAAUAUAGUUGUAAGCUAGUUAAGAAUUUCCUUAUCUCAGUAUAACAGAUGAUUUUUGUGGUAACAACAGAAACAGCCCAAGAAAACAGAACCUAUAAAAACCUAUAUCUCCUGAGAUAACAAGACUUUUAACCCAUUAUCACAAAAAGGAAUCUAUCUAUAAUCACCUUCUCAGUCAUUAACUCCUAAUCUCAAGGUAAUUAUUGCUCAUAUUUAAGAUACUGUUAUAUACAAAAUUAUCUCAUAAUCUCAAUAAUUAAUUAAAUCAUUUUUCUAACAGCUCC